GUGAAUCAUCAAAUUUUUGAACGCAAAUUGCACUCUCCUCGGAGAGUAUGCCUGUUUGAGGGUCAGCCUAUAAAAAAUCGACAUCGUUGCUGGUUCGCGGUGGCGUUCGUCGGAAAUUGGGUCAUCUUAAAUCCUUUGGGUUUUAAUCGACUUAAAAUUUUCUUUUUAGUUCCAUGAACGUUUCUAAGAUUUAUUUCUUUACACAUUUAAGUUAUCGAUUUUUAUUAGACGUGACCAUCAUAUCGGAUCGCGUCCAUAAUAUUUCAUUAACUGACGUCAUACAUGUAA
rnacentral:misc_RNA from 1 species